rnacentral:rRNA from 1 species
UACGGAGGAUGCGAGCGUUAUCCGGAUUUAUUGGGUUUAAAGGGUGCGUAGGCGGACUGUCAAGUCAGCGGUAAAAUACGGGGGCUCAACCGCGGGACUGCUUUUGAAACUGUGUAGCUAGAGUGCAGGAGAGGUAAGUGGAAUUCCUAGUGUAGCGGUGAAAUGCGUAGAUAUUAGGAGGAACACCGGUGGCGAAGGCGGCUUACUGGACUGUAACUGACGUUGAGGCUCGAAAGCGUGGGGAGCAAACAGG